ensembl:lincRNA 4933436I20Rik RIKEN cDNA 4933436I20 gene
NNNNNNNNNNNNNNNNNNNACUCUUUAGCAGUGUUCUCCUGUAUUUCUUUAAGUGAGUUAUGAAAGUCCUUCUUGAUGUCCUCUACCAUCAUCAUGAGAAGUGUUUUUAAAUCUGGGUCGUCUAGAUUUUCGGUUGUGUUGGGGUGCCCAGGACUAGGUGGGGUGGGCGUGCUGUGUUCUGAUUUUGGUGAGUAGUCUUGGUGUCUGUUAGUAGGAUUCUUACAUUUGCCUUUCGCCAUCUGGUAAUCUCUGAAGCUAGCUGUUAUAGUUGUCUCUGGUUAGAGCUUGUUCCUCAGGUGACUUUGUUAGCCUCUAUAAGCAGACCUCGGAGGCUAGCUCUCUCCUUAGUUUCAGUGGUCAGUUUCUCUGUAGGCAAACUCUCUUCUUGCAGGGAAGGUGCCCAGAUAUCUGGUGUCGAACCUGCCUCCUGGAAGAAGUUGUGUUCCACUCACCAGAGGUCUUAGGAUCCCGCAGGGAAUCCUAUGUGGCCCCCUGCGGAUGUUGGGAGACUCUGCUGGCAAGGCACCCCGGUGCUCGAGUCUUUGAAGUUUCUCUGUGUAGCCCUGGCUGUCCUGGAACUAACUCUGUAGACUAGGCUGGCCUGGAACUCAGCUAUGACCUGGACUCAAGCUGUGGUCUUGGUGUCUACUGGGAUGAGUGUUGCACAUCUAUGAAUACAAUCAAGAAAAUCCCCACAGAUACUAUCACAGGUCAACCUUGUCUACGCAACCAUUGAGGCUCUCUUCCCAGGGCUACUCAAGUUUGGAGUCAUUUACUUAUGUUGGUGAUUUCAGAUCACAAAUUAUAUCUGCCGAACGUAGAGAUCUUACUCCUUCAAUGAAGGCAAGACUUUUAUCAAAUGGGACUCAGUUGUGUCAUGACUCUGAAUUUAUAGUAUGUUCAUCGUUGAUACUGAUGAUAACUGGCCAUGAACCAGAGCAUGGAAUGCACCAGAGAGACUCCAUUUGCAAGCUGAUGCAACAAGACUAUUGAUCCUCUACAAAGAGGAUGCUGAAAGCUGCUACAGACAGUGUGCACAAAGACAUUGACAAGCAUAGCUACAACCAGUAGCAUGCUGAAAAUCAGGAACCUAAAAGUGUUGACAUACACUAGUCCUCCAAGGUCUAAUCACAUGAGCUCCAAGAAUGUGGCCAGUGAUAUGGCUCAGGACCUAGUGGUGUUUGUCACAAAGCCCGACAGCCUGAGUUUGAUCCUUGGGACCCAUGAGCUGGAACUCCAGCAAGUUGUAUUCUGACCUCCACAUAUUCUGAUCACACAAAUGCUGCCACACUCACAAAAAUAAAUAAAUGUAAAAAUUCAAAU